CUGGAUAUCCUGGACAAUUAGAUCACACAGAGGAAAUGUACACAGUCUGAGGACGGCUUCACGGUGCAGGAUGAUGGAAGCAAAGGGUUGUUGAUCUGAGUAUCCAUCCAGCUGGGAGAGGCUGGUCCUGAUUUCAGAUGAUUUCAACCAAGGAAUUGUUGCUUCUUGGCCCCUUCCUUCCAUCUGCCUGAAAACUCAGAAGUAAGGACUUGAGCUUCUAAAGGGUUUCUAAAACCAUUAAUGGGCUGAAUCAUUCAAUGAUUCACUGACGGGCGAUGUACUCACCAUUCAAGCAAGCCUCAAGCUGAGACUCUGGCAUCUCUCUUUGCCCUGCCCAGCCCAGCAUUUGGUCAAGCUUCAAGAUGGUUCUGAAGGGGAUCACAAUGUGCCAUCCCCUGGA